rnacentral:lncRNA from 1 species
AGAUCCUGCCGCGUGACGACGGCUCUCCUAGAUCCAUCCACGGUUCCUCUGAAAGUCACUAGGAACUUUGUCAUCGAUGCAGUUGUUUCCUGAUAACGGAUGGAGUGCCUGCUGUAUUGAGAUUAUGGGUGUGGGCCACAGUGCCCAGCCAGAUGUAUCUUCUAAUCCACCAAGGGAAUCUGAACUGUUAAUUAAUUGUUAAUUGUUAAAACAUUGCUGGGCAAAAUAGCCCCGACAUGCCGCUUGAAGCACCUGGGCAGCUCAGACAUGAACUUCCUAAACCAUGAAAAACAAGACAACAAAGAGGAUGGAAGACAGGGAGGAAAAAGUCAUCAAAGGAAAGCAGCGAGAAACCGAGAAACUGGUGUGUACUGGAUCAGAGUGAAUAAGCAGAUGUGGUUGGAAGCAUACUAUUGAUGAAAAUCACCUCAGCUAAUAGACGUAGCUCAACCAAAACAUUGGCUUACACAAUUUGCUGGAAUUCUCUGUCUUCCACUAGCGGGCUUCAGCAGAAGAUCUGAACUCUCAGCUCCUCCUGCACCAUGCCUGUCUGGAUGCUGCCAUGCUGCCACCUUGAUGAUAAUGGACUCCUGCACCAUGCCUGCCUGGAUGCUGCCAUGCUGCCACCUUGAUGAUAAUGGACUCCUGCACCAUGCCUGCCUGGAUGCUGCCAUGCUGCCACCUUGAUGAUAAUGGACUCCUGCGCCAUGCCUGUCUGGAUGCUGCCAUGCUGCCACCUUGAUGAUAAUGGACUCCUGCACCAUGCCUGCCUGGAUGCUGCCAUGCUGCCACCUUGAUGAUAAUGGACUCCUGCACCAUGCCUGCCUGGAUGCUGCCAUGCUGCCACCUUGAUGAUAAUGGACUCCUGCACCAUGCCUGUCUGGAUGCUGCCAUGCUGUCACCUUGAUGAUAAUGGACUCCUGCACCAUGCCUGCCUGGAUGCUGCCAUGCUGCCACCUUGAUGAUAAUGGACUCCUGCACCAUGCCUGUCUGGAUGCUGCCAUGCUGUCACCUUGAUGAUAAUGGACUCCUGCACCAUGCCUGCCUGGAUGCUGCCAUGCUGCCACCUUGAUGAUAAUGGACUCCUGCACCAUGCCUGUCUGGAUGCUGCCAUGCUGUCACCUUGAUGAUAAUGGACUCCUGCACCAUGCCUGCCUGGAUGCUGCCAUGCUGUCACCUUGAUGAUAAUGGACUGAACCUCUGAACCUGUAAGCCAGCCCCAAUUACAUGUUGUCCUUAUAAGAGUUGCCUUGGUCAUGGUGUCUGUUCACAGCAGUGAAACCCUAGCUAAGAGAGUGAAUUCAGAUGUAGAAAUCUCCUUCAUCAGCAUCAUGUCUGCCUGCACGCUGCCGUGCUUUCCUCCGUGAUGACACGGAUUGAUCCUCUGAAACUGUAAACCAGCCCCAAUCAAACGCUUUUUAAUACAAGAGUUGCCAUGGUAAUGUGUUUCUUCAUAGCAAUAGGUCGCUAAGACCAGUGGUGUCUUGUUUUCCUGGUUAUUCAUGUUUCUUAGAGUCUUUUGUAGUUAUCUGUACAUUUGCACAAGAGAUUCUUUCCUCCAGGGUUUAUCAACUAUCUCUGACAUAGUGAUUAACUUUACCUCUGAGCUGGGGUGCAUUAAAGCAUACUUUGACUCUAAACCUAGUGAGCCAGGGCACGUGUGGAGGCUUUCAGUUCAGAGGGUAAUGAAUGUGUCUAUCAGCUCACACAGCUGGUAUCCAAAGUGUUGACAACUUGGCAGUCCUAUGCUGCGAGGACUGUUAGGGAUCCAGUGGCAAGGGCAGCAAUGGAGACAUGGGACACUCAGAUGCGUACACUUGGCCUCAAAGGCCAGCUGCAGGUAUCUGCUGGGUGACAAGUUUGGUGGCAGGCAAGUGCACAGCGGGAAAGUUUAGAGCACGAGAGGCUCAGAAGCCAUAGCUUGUAAAGGCAAAUAAAGACUCUUGGCUACAGAU